AUUCUCCCAUUAGAUGGGAGUACAAGAAGUGCAAGUAAACAUUUAUGAUAUAUACUGUAUGUUCAAUAUGCCAUAAAUAUAGUAUUUCAGUUGGUAAUACCCCUUUAAGUUUUAUUUUAGGCCCUUGUAAUUGGUUCAGGCUGACAAUGUGACCCUCAACCAGAAAAAGUUGUGCACCCCUCCUCUAGAAGAAUGAUGUUGCAGCU